rnacentral:rRNA from 1 species
CAGGUCUUGACAUCCUCUUGAAUACUUCAGAGAUGAGGUAGGCUUUCGGGACAAGAGAGACAGGUGGUGCAUGGUUGUCGUCAGCUCGUGUCGUGAGAUGUUGGGUUAAGUCCCGCAACGAGCGCAACCCUUAAUUUCAGUUGCCAGCCGUAAGAGGGGCACUCUGGAAUGACUGCCGGUGACAAACCGGAGGAAGGUGGGGAUGACGUCAAAUCAUCAUGCCCCUUAUGACCUGGGCUACACACGUACUACAAUGGCCGGUACAACGGGAGGCGAAGCCGCGAGGCGGAGCGAAUCCUAAAAAGCCGGUCUCAGUUCGGAUUGCAGACUGCAACUCGCCUGCAUGAAGUCGGAAUUGCUAGUAAUCGCGGAUCAGCAUGCCGCGGUGAAUACGUUCCC